CACGUAGGGGGCGAGCGUUGUCCGGAUUUAUUGGGCGUAAAGAGCUCGUAGGCGGUUUCGUAAGUCGGAUGUGAAAACUCCAGGCUCAACUUGGAGACGCCAUUCGAUACUGCGAUGACUUGAGUCCGGUAGGGGAGUGUGGAAUUCCUGGUGUAGCGGUGAAAUGCGCAGAUAUCAGGAGGAACACCGGCGGCGAAGGCGGGUUGCUGGGCCGACACUGACGCUGAGGCGCGAAAGCUAGGGGAGCGAACGGG
rnacentral:rRNA from 1 species